rnacentral:snoRNA from 1 species
AUCCUUUUGUAGUUCAUAAGUGUGAUGAUUGGGUUUGCACACUCAUAUGUGAGAUGUGCCUGCCUCACACCUUGUUAGGGCAUUGGCACAUUAUCCAUUUGAGG